rnacentral:rRNA from 1 species
AUUGAACGCUGGCGGCAGGCCUAACACAUGCAAGUCGAGCGGAUGAAGGGAGCUUGCUCCUGGAUUCAGCGGCGGACGGGUGAGUAAUGCCUAGGAAUCUGCCUGGUAGUGGGGGAUAGCGUCCGGAAACGGGCGCUAAUACCGCAUACGUCCUGAGGGAGAAAGUGGGGGAUCUUCGGACCUCACGCUAUCAGAUGAGCCUAGGUCGGAUUAGCUAGUUGGUGGGGUAAAGGCCUACCAAGGCGACGAUCCGUAACUGGUCUGAGAGGAUGAUCAGUCACACUGGAACUGAGACACGGUCCAGACUCCUACGGGAGGCAGCAGUGGGGAAUAUUGGACAAUGGGCGAAAGCCUGAUCCAGCCAUGCCGCGUGUGUGAAGAAGGUCCUCGGAUUGUAAAGCACUUUAAGUUGGGAGGAAGGGCAGUAAGUUAAUACCUUGCUGUUUUGACGUUACCAACAGAAUAAGCACCGGCUAACUUCGUG